GACCCGCAGCUCGAGUGGUAGCCGCUAUUAUUGAGCCUAAAGCGUUUGAAGCCGGCUAUGUAAAUCCUUGGGUAAAUCGAGUCGCUUAACGGCUCGAAUUUCAGGGAGACUGCAAGGCUAGAGAGCGGGAGAGGUCAGAGGUACUUUCGAGGUAGGAGUAAAAUCCCGUAAUCCCGAAGGGACCACCUGUGGCGAAGGCGUCUGACUAGAACGGCUCUGACGGUGAGGAACGAAGGCUAGGGGAGCAAACCGG
rnacentral:rRNA from 1 species